rnacentral:rRNA from 1 species
CCGAACCGACUAAUGUUGAAAAAUUAGCGGAUGACCUGUGGCUGGGGGUGAAAGGCCAAUCAAACCGGGAGAUAGCUGGUUCUCCCCGAAAGCUAUUUAGGUAGCGCCUCGUGAAUUCAUCUCCGGGGGUAGAGCACUGUUUCGGCUAGGGGGCCAUCCCGGCUUACCAACCCGAUGCAAACUGCGAAUACCGGAGAAUGUUAUCACGGGAGACACACGGCGGGUGCUAACGUCCGUCGUGAAGAGGGAAACAACCCAGACCGCCAGCUAAGGUCCCAAAGUCAUGGUUAAGUGGGAAACGAUGUGGGAAGGCCCAGACAGCCAGGAUGUUGGCUUAGAAGCAGCCAUCAUUUAAAGAAAGCGUAAUAGCUCACUGGUCGAGUCGGCCUGCGCGGAAGAUGUAACGGGGCUAAACCAUGCACCGAAGCUGCGGCAGCGACGCUGAUGCGUUGUUGGGUAGGGGAGCGUUCUGUAAGCCUGCGAAGGUGGCCUGUGAGGGUUGCUGGAGGUAUCAGAAGUGCGAAUGCUGACAUAAGUAACGAUAAAGCGGGUGAAAAGCCCGCUCGCCGGAAGACCAAGGGUUCCUGUCCAACGUUAAUCGGGGCAGGGUGAGUCGACCCCUAAGGCGAGGCCGAAAGGCGUAGUCGAUGGGAAACGGGUUAAUAUUCCCGUACUUGGUGUUACUGCGAAGGGGGGACGGAGAAGGCUAUGUUGGCCGGGCGACGGUUGUCCCGGUUUAAGCGUGUAGGUGUGUGUUCCAGGUAAAUCCGGUUCACUUUAACACUGAGGCGUGAUGACGAGGCACUACGGUGCUGAAGCAACAAAUGCCCUGCUUCCAGGAAAAGCCUCUAAGCAUCAGGUAACAUCAAAUCGUACCCCAAACCGACACAGGUGGUCAGGUAGAGAAUACCAAGGCGCUUGAGAGAACUCGGGUGAAGGAACUAGGCAAAAUGGUGCCGUAACUUCGGGAGAAGGCACGCUGACACGUAGGUGAAGUGAUUUACUCAUGGAGCUGAAGUCAGUCGAAGAUACCAGCUGGCUGCAACUGUUUAUUAAAAACACAGCACUGUGCAAACACGAAAGUGGACGUAUACGGUGUGACGCCUGCCCGGUGCCGGAAGGUUAAUUGAUGGGGUCAGCGCAAGCGAAGCUCCUGAUCGAAGCCCCGGUAAACGGCGGCCGUAACUAUAACGGUCCUAAGGUAGCGAAAUUCCUUGUCGGGUAAGUUCCGACCUGCACGAAUGGCGUAAUGAUGGCCAGGCUGUCUCCACCCGAGACUCAGUGAAAUUGAACUCGCUGUGAAGAUGCAGUGUACCCGCGGCAAGACGGAAAGACCCCGUGAACCUUUACUAUAGCUUGACACUGAACAUUGAGCCUUGAUGUGUAGGAUAGGUGGGAGGCUUUGAAGUGUGGACGCCAGUCUGCAUGGAGCCGACCUUGAAAUACCACCCUUUAAUGUUUGAUGUUCUAACGUGGACCCGUGAUCCGGGUUGCGGACAGUGUCUGGUGGGUAGUUUGACUGGGGCGGUCUCCUCCUAAAGAGUAACGGAGGAGCACGAAGGUUGGCUAAUCCUGGUCGGACAUCAGGAGGUUAGUGCAAUGGCAUAAGCCAGCUUGACUGCGAGCGUGACGGCGCGAGCAGGUGCGAAAGCAGGUCAUAGUGAUCCGGUGGUUCUGAAUGGAAGGGCCAUCGCUCAACGGAUAAAAGGUACUCCGGGGAUAACAGGCUGAUACCGCCCAAGAGUUCAUAUCGACGGCGGUGUUUGGCACCUCGAUGUCGGCUCAUCACAUCCUGGGGCUGAAGUAGGUCCCAAGGGUAUGGCUGUUCGCCAUUUAAAGUGGUACGCGAGCUGGGUUUAGAACGUCGUGAGACAGUUCGGUCCCUAUCUGCCGUGGGCGCUGGAGAACUGAGGGGGGCUGCUCCUAGUACGAGAGGACCGGAGUGGACGCAUCACUGGUGUUCGGGUUGUCAUGCCAAUGGCACUGCCCGGUAGCUAAAUGCGGAAGAGAUAAGUGCUGAAAGCAUCUAAGCACGAAACUUGCCCCGA